AGCGGGAUCAGCUAAUGGUAAGCUUUUAGACUCAUGAUCUAAACAUGGAGGUUCAAGUCCUUCUCCCGUUA
rnacentral:tRNA from 1 species